rnacentral:ncRNA from 1 species
UCGCAGCCUAAGCGACCCGCGAGGGGCAUUAGGACAGGGUUGGUCGGUGAGUACCCUGAUUCGGAAAUAACCCCGACAGCU